AGUGAACGCUGGCGGCAGGCCUAACACAUGCAAGUCGAACGGCAGCACAGUAAGUGCUUGCUCUUACGGGUGGCGAGUGGCGGACGGGUGAGGUAUACAUCGGAAUCUACUUUUUCGUGUGGGUUAACGUAGGGAAACUUACGCUAAUACCGCAUACGAUCUACGGGUGAAAGCAGGGGAUAUUCGGACCUUGCGCGAUUGAAUGAGCCGAUGUCGGUGUGGCUAGUUGGGGGGGUAAAGGCCCACCAAGGCGAGGAUCCGUAGCUGGUGUGAGGGGAGGGUAGGCCACACGGGAGCUGGAACACGGUCCAGACUCCUACGGGAGGCAGCAGUGGGGAAUAUUGGACAAUGGGCGGAAACCUGGUCCAGCCAGACCACGUGGGUGAAGGAGGCCUUCGGGUUGUAAAGCCCUUUUGUUGGGAAAGAAAAGCAGCAGGUUAAUACCCCGCUGUUCUGACGGUACCCGAAGAAUAAGCACCGGCUAACUACGUG
rnacentral:rRNA from 1 species